UCUCAUGGAUAUAAAGGAACAGACUGCUUGUUUUAGGUGUGCUUGAUCUGAGUCAAUCUCCCUGCACCGCUUUGAGAUCUCAAAUAAACUUGGUUUGCUUCUCCACCCUGGUGUGUUUAUUGGCGCGGCACACCAGGCGACGGACCCCCCCGCUGUUGCUUGGCCUCAGGCAGUUAUCUGCCGGCAACAGUUCUUGGCGCCCAACGUGGGGCAUUGAGGCUAAAAUUAGCCUUGCCUGGAUCCCUUCUGGUGGUCGACGGAUUGCGGCGACGACCGACGCCCAGCGCGCACCGGUGACUUCACCGGGGGCCUCGGCGGAGACGCAGUUCGACUGACCCCAGAGGGCACAACAGUGCAACGCGCUCAAGUAGUGGAGAAGCAGUUGAGGGCGACGGUGAGGAACCGGUCCCUUGGAUAAGCUAAAAAGCAAGAUCAGAUGCAGAAUGGUACUGGGGGCCAGUGUGAAUGACUGUUACCGGAAGAGGCCCAGAGUACCCUGUGAAGCAAAAGCUCGUGACCAGGACUACUCUAACGCAAGCCCGGUAACUAGUGGAUCUUUAGGAGGUCCAACCCAUGGUGGGCUGACUUGGCUUGGCAUCGUCCGGUGAGGAAGCUGCCUGGGUCUAGGAGUGUGUGUACCCAUCUUCCCUUCCCCUUUCCUUUCUGUGUGGGCUACUGACAGUCUGAUCAUCUCACUGGAUGCAAUCAGAGUAAGCGGCGCCAUCUCCCAGAGACUAGCCGACGCUCUUUGCUGAAGGGAGGUGUAGGAGGGUCGUGGCCAUCCUCGUUAGCCUCUCCUGUGUGAGUACCCUGUAGGGAAAAAUCCUUAGUUUAUGAGCCGCUAGCGCGGACAGGGCACCCUCCCUGUGUGUGUAAGUGGAAAAUGGGUGGGGGACAGUCUAAACAUUCCAUCUCACCCCCUAAGGGUACCCCAGCAUAUUACAUGUACGUACAUUAUAGUUCAACAACCUGCAGGUAUUUAGAGAAUUGGAAUAUUUACACCGUGAAAAUCCAUCUAAAUAAUGCCCACUAGAAGGUACUUCAAUCUAGAUAAGAUCAUACAUCUAAGAGGAGCGUUUAAUCACCAAAAAGCCCUGACACAGGGUGAGCAAAUUUGUCUAUUGAGGAAAGGAACGGGUUAAUUUAAAAAUCAUCUUGGCCCAGGGAUGGAAGGGGGGGAUUGCUCUGCAUUCAAGGUCCAGAAUCAAAGCAGACUAUGCUAAGUACAAAGAAAAACUGCUUUCGGCCCCAGCUGGCUGUGAAGGAAAAAAAUAUAGACAGAGGCGAACCAAAGGCAAUACAAGUUACAGAACUAAGAUUACAUUUGCAAAGCUUAACUGUCCAGUAAGAUCCAACAGUGUGCCUAUGUGACCCCGGAGCCGGUGUGGCUUGGUGACACUGAAGAAGCCGCAGGCAGCUGACCUGGACUGGAAUCUCUGAAAGAGAUGCUGCAGAAGAUUCCAGGGUGCAAGAGAACAGCCCUCCAAAGAGCGGAAGCAUGUUAGAAAUUCUGGACAAACUGUAUACAGGAUAAUCUCCAGUCCACCUCUCCCCCCUUCUCUGAACAUUAUACACAGAAGUGGCCAGUCUGGACGUACGUGUAUAAUCAGAGAAAACUGAUGCCAGCUGAACAGCAUUCAACGUACCAUGCAUUUACUGGCACAAUAGGAAUCAUGUUUUGUGUUCUAUGUUCUGUCCUGUGGUGUUUGUCUUGUGGCCGGAAUUUUUGUGUUUAAUAUUUUUAUAAAAUAGUCUAGUUUAAAAUCAAACAAAAAGAUUAAAUUAAAAUGCAGAUAUUUGUUUUGUUCAACUUGGAAUACAAAGUGUUUGGAUAAAUCAGGAGAAUGUGAUAUACUAAAGUCUAAUGCAUUUCCUCAAGAAAAAGAAA